ACUCCUACGGGAGGCUGCAGUGGGGAAUAUUGGACAAUGGGCGAAAGCCUGAUCCAGCCAUGCCGCGUGAGUGAUGAAGGCCUUAGGGUUGUAAAGCUCUUUUAUCCGGGAAGAUAAUGACUGUACCGGAAGAAUAAGCCCCGGCUAACUUCGUGCCAGCAGCCGCGGUAAUACGAAGGGGGCUAGCGUUGCUCGGAAUCACUGGGCGUAAAGGGCGCGUAGGCGGCCGAUCAAGUCAGAGGUGAAAGCCCAGGGCUCAACCCUGGAAUUGCCUUUGAUACUGGAUGGCUAGAGACCGGAAGAGGUUAGUGGAACUGCGAGUGUAGAGGUGAAAUUCGUAGAUAUUCGCAAGAACACCAGUGGCGAAGGCGGCUAACUGGUCCGGUUCUGACGCUGAGGCG
rnacentral:rRNA from 1 species